rnacentral:rRNA from 1 species
UACAGAGGUCCCAAGCGUUGUUCGGAUUCACUGGGCGUAAAGGGUGCGUAGGUGGUUGGGUAAGUUUGAUGUGAAAUCUCCGGGCCUAACCCGGAAACUGCAUUGAAUACUAUUCAGCUUGAGGGUUGGAGAGGAGACUGGAAUUCUCGGUGUAGCAGUGAAAUGCGUAGAUAUCGAGAGGAACACCUGUGGCGAAGGCGAGUCUCUGGACAAUUCCUGACACUGAGGCACGAAAGCUAGGGGAGCAAACAGG